AGGGAGAGUCUGGGCAUGGGUUAGGCCACCCUCCCUCAGGUCUGGGUGGGUACCACUUGCGCAGGUAAGAUUGAUGGCGGCAGGCAGGCGAUGUUCCCAGAGGUUCCAUCCCAUUCCUUCUGUUCACAUCAGACAUGGCACCACACAUAGGCUGCUGGCCAGGCCAGGUGACUGAGGUGGGGAGGGCCUGCCAGGCUCCUGUCAGCUGGAAUGCAAACACAGCCAAAGGCAAGAGGUUGUCCUCUGCCAUCUCAGCGCUGAGGCUAGGGCUCACCCUGAGCCUCCUCCCAACCUGGCAGGGCCCCUGGCAUCCCUCCAGUGGGAAGAGCUCCUUUGGAAAGGGCCUUCUGGCUGCCAUGGGGUUGUGAGCAUCUACGCUGCCAAUUUGAAUCCUGCAACUCUUGCCAUGGAAAAAGGCAGUUUUCCAUUACACACACACACACACACACACACACACACACACACACACACUCUGUACCCUACUGUUGAAAACCAGGUACCUCUAAAUCCUUCAAACUGGAAGUCACAGAUGGUAAAUCCUUUACUGAGAUGGAUAAGGAUUAUGUAGGAGUCAGGAAAAACUUAUCCACCAGACAUUUCUGUCUCUGGCUCACCUCCUCCCGUUCGAACCAAAUGAAACCCCAAACUUGCUGAAGUAGGUAGAUUUCCCCCUCAGGGUUCCCUGUCAUCUUUUUUAGCCAUAUCACAAGACUGAGCAUCCAAAUUGUCCAUUAACCCAGCUUUCCAGCGGGGGGGACUUCCUAAUGCUGACCAAAUACUAACAAGCACUACAGAAUCUAAUCUGGCUGGCGCUCCUCCAGACCUCGCGUCCUCACCCUCACUCUGCAGAUAAGGAAGCCAGCGUUCAGGGACGGGCCUUGGUUUCGAAACCCUUCCUUUCUGUGGUUCUACUGGGACUAAGCAGCUCAGUGCCUCCAUUGCUGGCCUGGCUGGCUCUUCUGGUCCAGGAAGAACUAAAGCCCUCCCACUUUAAGGCUUCAGUGUAACAGACACCCUGCUGGACCAAUUAGUACCCACCUCUCUGGAAGUGCAGACUCACUGGCAUUAAUUAAACAUGCAGAAGCAUUUUCUUCCAGUAAUGAAGAGAAUAAUGCAGAGGAGUCUCCCUGAAGCCCGGAGCAUGGUAUUUCAUAAAGGUCACCUCCUCCACAUGUGAAGAAUGAAGAUCCAGGCGCUGGGUUUCAACCUAGGCGUCUCUUCUCCUUUGGGGCUCUGAAGUCAGCCCGCAGAACCUCAGAUGAACCCUGGUGGGUGCCAGCGUGCUGGGCACACCCUCUGCUGGGAUGUAACGUUUUGUUGACACCAUGUUCUGAAAGUGCCCGUGGGUAGACGGCACAGAUUGGCAGCUGGAGAGCAGUCGUCAUUCCAGCAUGCAUGGGGGAGUCACCGAUGAGAGCGGGUCGGACCCUCUGAGAGAGCGCCUCUCCGCUCAAUGAUGUGAAUGACCCUUGUGGGAAGAGAGAAGGGGGCACUUCAACAUCUACUCAGCUGUUUAAAGACCUGGAAGCAGACGGUGGUCUCGAACCAGCUCCGGACGGGCGUCGCAGACACAACCAGGGCCACCUGAGAAAAAGCAAAAGACAGAACCCCAGGGUGCUCGGCUGCUGGGGUGUGGAGAGGAGAUCUGAGUGAAGAACAUCAUGGUUCUUCAUGUGCUCCACUCAAACCUGUUGAGGAGGAGGGCUUCACGUGAGUGUCCUUCAAAAAGACGCUGAUGAGCAAUAGCUAGCUUUUCCUCCCCUUCCCCUUCCUCCCCUUCCUCCUCUUCCUCCAUCCCUCCUCCACCCUUCCUUCUUCAUUCUCCUCCUUUACCUUAUCCAUCCCCCUCAUCCCUCCUCCUCCUCCUUCCCUCCUGGUAAUAGAGGUAAUGGUUCUUUCUUCCUUGUCCUUUCUGUUUCCUAGGUGGAUAAAUCCAGAUGCAAUGGUUGUGUUCUGUGGAAUAAUCCUGUUGUGCACUGUAAAGAUUUGUCACUGGAAUUGGUUUAAUAAAAAGCUGAUUGGCUGGUAGCCAGGCAGGAAUUAGAGGCGGAACCACCAAACUAGGAGAAUGAUGGGAAGAAGGGACACCAGCCAGCCGCCAAGGAAGCAGGGCAUGUAGAAAAUGAGGUGACAAGCCAUGAGCCACAUGGCAAGGCAUAGAUAAGAAAUAUGGGUUAAUUUAAAUGUAAGAGUUAGGUAGUAUCAAGCCUGAGCUAUCGAACGAGCAUUUAUAAUUUAUAUUAGUCUCCUAGUCAGUUAUUUGAGAAGCAGCUACCGGUUAUUUGGGAGCAGUCAGUUGGGACAGGAAAACUCCACCUGAAGUUGUGCAUGAGGGUCCCCCAAAAGGUUCUAGUGUAGAAGGCUUGGUCCCGAGCUGGUGAGCCAAUCAUGGAGAGAUAAUUGGUUCAUUCGAACUCUGACUCGAUUAAUGGAUCAGUCUACUGAUGGAGCCAUCAUUGAAUGAAUUCCUGGGAAGUUGUAGAAACUGUGAAAGGUGGGGCCGGAUUGGAGCAAGUGCUCUCUAGGAUCUUGUCCCCAUCCUCUUCUUUCUGACUCCCUGCUUGCUGGCUCUCUCCACGAGCAUCUCUGCCUUGUCCCAUCCUUUCUGCCACGAUGCUCUGCCUCAGGCCUAAAGCAACGGAGCCAGCCAAGCACUACAGCCUCUGGGACGGUAGGCCAAAUGCAUCUUUCCUCCUCCAAACUGUUUCUCUCAGGCGUUUCCAUAGCAAUGAAAGACUGACCAACACAAGGUUGGUACCUAAGUUACCAUUUUAGACCAUGAGAUGAUCUUGGGAAUGGAGCCGUGCGUGCGUGCGUGCAUGCGUGUGUGUAUGCCAGAAGCAAGCUUUGAAUCCCCCCUGGUACUGGAAUUAUAGGUGAUUGUGAGCUACCUAAUCAGGGUACUGGGAAUAGAACCCAGGACUUGUGCAAGAGCAGCCAGUGCUCAGAACCACUGAGCCAUCUCUCCCGCCCCUUCUUAUCAAAGGUUCUUCUUAUCAAAGAGCCUCCAACCAACCUUUGAAGCUUACUUGUGGGCCUUUUCACUGUAAUAAAGAAUGCUCCCGCCUUCCUGAAACCAUUCCUCUUCAGGGUUUGCUCUUCCUUUGACUAAACGUCUUUCUAAAGGACAUGGCAUCCAAAGAAGGGGGCUAUAAACACAGAAGACACACUUUCAUAAUUGCCUCUCUCUGUCCCCACAGCCUCACCUCCUCUUAGCACCUCGACUGGCCCACCUUAUGGUACAGAAUCUAUGCUACAGAUGGUGACUGUGGCUGACUGAGCCUCAGCUCUGCAUCAGGCAUGAUGUGAUGAUCCCACAUCGGGCAUCUCAUGGGACACUUGCUGGGCUUCUGUGACAGGGACAAUAUUUAGAGCCAUUAUGGCACUUCCCAUAGUUAAUCGCACAGCUCUUACUCCGUCUGCACUAGGAGCUGUUCUCGGCGUGGUGGCCUGAUUGGUUCUCCAGGACGACUCUCUUCCCAGAAGCCCUCUGUUCCGCAGACUCUGUCUGUGGUCCUUUAGUUGUACGACACCGUCACCUCAAUAGUGGCUGAAACCCCAAUCAUUUCUGCCUGUGGUGAUGGAGAAUUUGGGAAGAGUGUGGACCUGGUAGUCCUCACUUGGAGGCCUUUCUAGUUGUUGGCAAAGGCCAGUGUGAGAUGUCCCUCAUAGCCUCAAGCAUUGAACACACGGUCCCCAGCUGGGGGUGCUGUUUUAUUGAUGGAGGGGGGUGCAGCCCCGCUGGAGGAGGUAUACUA